rnacentral:rRNA from 1 species
UGGUCAGAACGAACGCUGGCGGCGCGUUUAAGCAUGCAAGUCGAGCGGCAAGGGCCUUCGGGCCCCUAGAGCGGCGGACGGGUGAGUAACACGUGGACAAUCCUGCCCCCCGGCCGGGAUAGCCCCAGGGAAACCUGGAUUAAUACCGGAUGAGACGGGACCCGCGAUGGCGGGAUCCGGGAAAGGCGCUGCGGCGCCGCCGGGGGAUGAGUCUGCGUCCCAUUAGCUAGACGGCGGGUAACGGCCCACCGUGGCGACGAUGGGUAGCCGGCCUGAGAGGGUGACGGCCACAUUGGAACUGAGACACGGUCCAGACUCCUACGGGAGGCAGCAGCUAAGAAUCUUCCGCAGUGGGCGAAAGCCUGACGGAGCGACGCCCGCGUGAACGAAGAAGGCCGUGAGGUUGUAAAGUUCUUUUCGGGAGGGGGAACAACCGUGGCAGGGAAUGGCCGCGGGAUGACGUGAAUCCCGGAAUAAGCCCCGGCUAACUACGUGCCAGCCGCAGC